UACGUAGGGAGCGAGCGUUGUCCGGAUUCAUUGGGCGUAAAGCGCUUUAAGGCGGUUCGCUAAGUCGCGUGUGAAACCUCCAGGCUCAACCUGGAGACGCCACGCGAUACUGGCGUGACUAGAGUUCGGUAGGGGAUCACGGAAUUCCUGGUGUAGCGGUGAAAUGCGCAGAUAUCAGGAGGAACACCAGUGGCGAAGGCGGUGAUCUGGGCCGAUACUGACGCUGUAGAGCGAAAGCGUGGGGAGCGAACAGG
rnacentral:rRNA from 1 species